UACGAAGGGGGCUAGCGUUGCUCGGAAUCACUGGGCGUAAAGCGCACGUAGGCGGGUUGUUAAGUCGGGGGUGAAAUCCUGGAGCUCAACUCCAGAACUGCCUUUGAUACUGGGGAUCUCGAGUCCGGAAGAGGUGAGUGGAACUCCGAGUGUAGAGGUGAAAUUCGUAGAUAUUCGGAAGAACACCAGUGGCGAAGGCGGCUCACUGGUCCGGUACUGACGCUGAGGUGCGAAAGCGUGGGGAGCAAACAGG
rnacentral:rRNA from 1 species